AAGACCUUGCGCUUUUGGAGCGGCCGAUGCCUGAUUAGCUUGUUGGUAAGGUAAAAGCUUACCAAGGCUUCGAUCAGUAGCUGGUCUGAGAGGACGACCAGCCACACUGGGACUGAGACACGGCCCAGACUCCUACGGGAGGCAGCAGUGGGGAAUUUUGGACAAUGGGGGCAACCCUGAUCCAGCCAUGCCGCGUGAGUGAAGAAGGCCUUCGGGUUGUAAAGCUCUUUCAGCCGGAACGAAACGGUUACGGAUAACACCCGUGACUACUGACGGUACCGGAAGAAGAAGCACCGGCUAACUACGUGCCAGCAGCCGCGGUAAUACGUAGGGUGCGAGCGUUAAUCGGAAUUACUGGGCGUAAAGCGUGCGCAGGUGGUUUUGUAAGUCAGAUGUGAAAGCUCCGGGCUCAACCUGGGAACU
rnacentral:rRNA from 1 species